UUGAAUUCUUUUGUUUUUGUCUUCAACACCAUCAUAUGCAGAUGUUAUUGUUUAUGUUACUUUUUUGUUGCAGCUGCCUGCCAGUCAAGAUGCCAUGAGGUACAUGAUAUGACCCACAAGUACUUAAUGAUGCAGAGAAGAGCAUAUGGGAAAAAGAAAACAAUACAUUUAUCUGUUAACACAACCAGAAGUCAGAAGAUGGGUGAUGGGACAGCAUUUCAAGACCAGACACAAAAGGGUUCCCAGGAGUACACACAGCACAGCCAAAAUGUGGCUAGCUGAAGUACAGCAGACCAUAG